rnacentral:rRNA from 1 species
UAAUACGGAGGGUGCAAGCGUUAAUCGGGAUUACUGGGCGUAAAGCGUGCGUAGGCGGUUUGUUAAGUCAGAUGUGAAAGCCCCGGGCUUAACCUGGGAACUGCAUUUGAUACUGGCAAACUAGAAUGUGGUAGAGGGAAGUGGAAUUCCUCAUGUAGCGGUGAAAUGCGUAGAUAUGAGGAGGAACACCAGUGGCGAAGGCGACUUCCUGGACCAACAUUGACGCUGAGGUACGAAAGCGUGGGUAGCAAACAGGAUUAGAUACCCUGGUAGUCCACGCCGUAAACGAUGUCUACUAGCCGUUGGGGGGCUUGUCCCUUUAGUGGCGCAGCUAACGCGAUAAGUAGACCGCCUGGGGAGUACGGUCGCAAGAUUA